rnacentral:rRNA from 1 species
AGAAUCAACGCUGGCGGCGUGCCUAACACAUGCAAGUCGCACGAGAAAGGGGAGCAAUCCCUGAGUACAGUGGCGCACGGGUGAGUAACACGUGAAUUAUCUACCUCCGAGUGGGGAAUAACUGAGAGAAAUCUUAGCUAAUACCGCAUAACACUUACGAGUCAAAGCAGCAAUGCGCUUGGAGAGGAGUUCGCGGCCGAUUAGUUAGUUGGCGGGUAAUCGGCCCACCAAGACGAUGAUCGGUA